rnacentral:lncRNA from 1 species
GACAGUGUGGACCUACGUAGUAAGGGGAAAAAAGAAAAGAAACACACCCAGGCUUAUUUAAUGAUCAAGAAGCGGAGCUCCCUCUUCCGGAAGAUCACAAAACAGUCAAACCUGUUGCACACUAGCCGAUCGCUGUCCUCUCUGAACCGGUCUUUGUCGUCCAGCGACAGUCUUCCUGGUUCGCCCACGCACGGACUACCCGCACGCUCGCCCACGCAUAGCUAUCGCUCCACACCUGACUCCGCCUACCUAGGUGCCUCGUCACAGAGUAG